ACGGGAGGCAGCAGUGAGGAAUAUUGGUCAAUGGACGAGAGUCUGAACCAGCCAAGUAGCGUGCAGGAUGACGGCCCUCCGGGUUGUAAACUGCUUUUAGUUGGGAAUAAAAGAGGGGACGUGUCCCCUAUUGUAUGUACCAUCAGAAAAAGGACCGGCUAAUUCCGUGCCAGCAGCCGCGGUAAUACGGAAGGUCCGGGCGUUAUCCGGAUUUAUUGGGUUUAAAGGGAGCGUAGGCGGGCCUUUAAGUCAGUGGUAAAAGCGUGUGGCUCAACCAUACCGCGCCAUUGAAACUGGAGGUCUUGAGUGCACACAGGGAUGCUGGAAUUCGUCGUGUAGCGGUGAAAUGCUUAGAUAUGACGAAGAACUCCGAUUGCGAAGGCAGCCUUCUGGGGUGUUACUGACGCUGAGGCUCGAAAGCGCGGGUAUCAAACAGGAUUAGAUACCCUGGUA
rnacentral:rRNA from 1 species